ensembl:lncRNA
CUCCCAGAGACCCUUCCUCCAAAUACCAUCACAUUGGGGAUUAGGUUUCAACAUAAGAAUUUUUAAGGGGACAAAGGAAUUAAGUCUCUACAGGGGACAUAGAGUCAGGAAGCUAGCUGUUUUUCUUUUCUUUUCUUUCUUUCUUUUUUUUUCCUUUGUUUUUUAGGGCCGCAUGUGUGGCAUAGGGAAGUUCCCAGGCUUGAGGUCCAAUUGAAGCUGCAGCUGCUGGCCUAUACCACAGGCACUGCAACACAGGAUCUGAGCCAUGUCUACAACCUAUACCACAGCUCAUUGCAACACCAGAUCUUUAACCCACUAAGCAAGACCAGGGAUCGAACCUGCAUCCUCAUGGAUACUAGUCGGGUUGUUACCACUGAGCCAUGAGGGGAACUCCAAAGCUAGCUGGUUUUAAGCAAAGCCCCCCUCACUUAAAAGGGAUGCUGUAGAAAGAGCAGUGUUGGGUUAGAAUUGAAUCCAGUCAUUAUUCUCAAAUCCUCCCCGACUCUAAGAUUCUAUAUCCAAUCCAAAUAUCCUCUCUUUGACAAAGCUGUUGGGAUGGCUGAUCAUAGCAACAGCCCCUAAGGUGGCCCCAGGGAACUUUGCCCUUCUUAAAGCAGAGCUGCCAUGGCCACUAGAAUUCACUUCAGUGCCCACUUAGAGGCCGUUUCUUCUGGUGUCUUCUCAUCAGCCCAGACUUUCUUCUUAGAUGUUAGUGGAUCAUAGAAGUCCCUCCAGAGCAUCCCUGCUCCACCCCAGGCCCCGCCAGCUCUUCCAAGUUCACAGCCACUCCCUACUUCAUUCACCUGCCUCCUGCUCCCUGCCAACUGCCCCAAACCCAUCUUGGUUUUCAUUUGUCCAGCUGCUCUACCGUGGAGCCCCUGCUCCUUCCCCAGCCGCCUGUGUGAUGGAGGAGAUUCUACAACCGCCACUGCCCUGUCCUCAUCUUGGUGCCCCAGCUGGGAACACUGAUGUCACUGUCCUUCCCAGAGCUCCGGGCCUUGACGGUGGGGCCGCUCCCACCACACCUCUUCACCCUCGCCACACUCUUCCAUCUUUUAGAAUUGUGGCUCUCAUCAUUUGUGUGAAAAUAGGGAAAUUGUACGUCUCUCUAAUGGCUGGGCCUAAACACCGUCUCGAUGCCCUGCCUUUCCAGCCCUGCUGCUCUCCACCCACUUCGUGAAUGUCUCAGGUCAGCCGUCUGGUCGACUCAUUGCUCACUACUUCACUGCCAUUGCUUCCUCCAUCCGUCUCGUCAGAAACACUCUGUGCCCUCUCCCUAGCAACGCUCUGCAUUUCCUUCAAAGCCUUUGAAGAUUGCCCUGAUUGCCCCACUCAAAGAGGUCUUUCUCUUCUCCUUGUUGGAACCCCUUGGAGUUCACUUUCACUUACUGUUUCCCACCUGAUUUUGUUGGUUGUCUUUAAGUUUCAAGCCUCCCCAAAUCUCUUCAAGUUCUCAAGGAUGGGAUUGGGGUCUUACAUAUCUGAACUCCUCCAGUGACUUGCAUUUAAUGGAUACUCAAUAAUAUUUGUUGAUUGCCUUUUAUCAUUCAGUACCCAAAAUAUUUUUAUGGAAGUCUUUUUUUCCUAAGUAAACUCCUAUCCAGUUCUGUAAAAGUGAAGCAUCCUGGGUGGUAAAUUUUUGAGAGUAGCAUGAGGAUUUUGUUUAGUGACCUGGGAAAGACUUACAGUUGCUCUACAAGAUCCAUGAAAGUAGGAUUGUUCCUACUGGGAAUCUAGUAACUAGAUUUUUCGCUCAAACAAGGCACAAAGUGGGAAGGGAUCUGAGUGUGGCUGGGUUGAGUUUCCACAGGCCUGCGCAUGUCAGUAGCAGCUAACACACCUCAUUUUAUUUACCUUCACCGGUCAGGUAGCUAUAAUGAAGCCUCUUUCAUAGGUGAGCACACAGAAACUUAGUUACCAUUCUAAGCCUUACACAGCUCGUAAACUGCAGAAUGGAGUUAAGAACUCAGGUCUCAAUGUCCACUGCUUUGGGUGGCCCUCUCAACACAACAAACAAUAAAUAUUUUGAACAAACAGGAGUGAAAAUACUC